CUGCGCUUAAUUGCGCGGCCAGUUCUUGAUUCUCUGCUAUCAGUUUUCUAUUUCUCAUCCUAAACACAAUGGAGUUUUUUCUCUAUGAACUACUUCCCUGGAGAGCUCGUCUCUCCAGUGGACAUAAACACAAACAAUAUUUUGUAUUAUGAAAAACUAUUAUACUAUAAAAUUUAAUAUUCAAAACUUUCAACAACGGAUCUCUUGGUUCUCGCAUCGAUGAAGAACGCAGCGAAUUGCGAUAUGUAUUGUGAAUUGCAGAUUUUCGUGAAUCAUCAAAUCUUUGAACGCACAUUGCGCCCUCUGGUAUUCCAGGGGGCAUGCCUGUUUGAGCGUCAUUUCUCUCUCAAACCUUUGGGUUUGGUAGUGAGUGAUACUCGUCUCGGGUUAACUUGAAAGUGGCUAGCCGUUGCCAUCUGCGUGAGCAGGGCUGCGUGUCAAGUCUAUGGACUCGACUCUUGCACAUCUACGUCUUAGGUUUGCGCCAAUUCGUGGUAAGCUUGGGUCAAAGAGACUCAUAGGUGUUAUAAAGACUCGCUGGUGUUUGUCUCCUUGAGGCAUACGGCUUUAACCAAAACUCUCAAAGUUUGACCUCAAAUCAGGUAGGAGUACCCGCUGAACUUAAG
rnacentral:rRNA from 1 species